GGGAAGGUGGCUGAAGACAGGCGGUGGUUUGUAAUUCCAUUUAUGGACAGGUGUCCCCUUUUCA
rnacentral:tRNA from 1 species